AAUUCGAAGCAACGCGAAGAACCUUACCAGGUCUUGACAUCCCGAUGCUAUUUCUAGAGAUAGAAAGUUACUUCGGUACAUCGGUGACAGGUGGUGCAUGGUUGUCGUCAGCUCGUGUCGUGAGAUGUUGGGUUAAGUCCCGCAACGAGCGCAACCCCUAUUGUUAGUUGCCAUCAUUCAGUUGGGCACUCUAGCGAGACUGCCGGUAAUAAACCGGAGGAAGGUGGGAUGACGUCAAAUCAUCAUGCCCCUUAUGACCUGGGCUACACACGUGCUACAAUGGUUGGUACACGAGUUGCGAGUCGGUGACGGCGAGCUAAUCUCUUAAAGCCAAUCUCAGUUCGGAUUGUAGGCUGCAACUCGCCUACAUGAAGUCGGAAUCGCUAGUAAUCGCGGAUCAGCACGCCCGCGGUCCGAAUACGUUCCCGGGCCUU
rnacentral:rRNA from 1 species